CCAGCAACUACAUUUUACAAAGUCCAAAGAAACAGCUCAAAUGACACUAUUCUAUUUAACCUCAUAUAUCCAUAUUAUUACCAUUUCAACAGGUAAUCCAUAUAAGAUUUACAAAUGAGAUAUUUUACAUCUUUUUUUUUGUAUUAACUCUUCAGAGUCCAGUGUGUAGUUGAGUGUCAUGGCACAUCUCAACCAGACCAACACAUCUGAAGUGCUCAGUGGCUCCACGUGGUCGGUGGCUGCCGUAUUGGACAGCAUGAAUCAGGAUGAGGUCUGAAGGCACACCCAGCUAUGACAUUCUAUGAUUCCAUGACAGGCCACCCCUGGACUGCUUUGUCCUUUUUGUUAGUUAUCCUUCUUCUUCUGGACCAUCAAUUUUCAAAGACUCCUGUGUCAACCUGAGCCCAGGAAGAAAUAACAUAUAACUAGACCCUCCUGUCCCAGGUAGGCUGCAGACCUCCCAGGAACAAAGCAGUUAACUUACCUUGGGAAAUUGCUUUGCAGUCCCGUGUGAAAGAAGAUGAUACAUACAGAAGCAAAGUAAUUAGUCUGUGAGCAUGUCUUCUUACACAGUCAUCGACGUAAGCACACUCUGUGAUGCAUAUUCCUGCCUGAAGCCUCAGGAAACUUAAUUAACUAUCUCCUGUAAAAGUGCAAGAGAUGUUCCAGAUGAAAGGUGGCCAGUGGGAGCCAAGCAUCGUCCCGAGGAACAUCUGAUUGUGCCCAUCCCCAGGCUGCACCAUUACAAGCCCGGACUGAUGUCAGUCACUUUCUGCAGCCCACAGGAUCAGGGGUGUGUGUUCUUCCCAGUGACGUGUCUGUGGUUCCUCCUCUUAGCUCCCACACAGACAUCCUUCAAGAAGGGGAAGACAGCUUUCAGACCAAGCACAAGGAGGUUUCAGACAAUUCAGCAGGCUGUGGUAGAGUUCCUGGAAUGGAGCAGAAAGCCCAAAAUAGAUAUCCGGGAAAAAAGAGGAAAUGGUGACAAAGAACUUCCUUUAAAAUGACAAGACCCUCCUUUUAUUGCCACAAUUGAGUCACGUGAAUUUUUGGUCCCUUCCAUGGAGAAGGGUGUUCCCAUGGGUUGAUUCAUGUACUUUAUUUCCUCCUUGAAGAGAGAGAAGGAAAAAAAAAAAAUGAUGAUCUAAGUAAUUGCAGCCAUCAAAGUAGUAAGAACUCAUCGAUCUCAAGUUCAACAGAAAUCUCAGUGAAAUAAUGCAGGGCUUAGAGAUUCUGUUCUUGUGAAAAUUCAUUCACUCAACAAAUGUUGAUUGUCUGCUCUAGACCAAAUGCUGGGAUAUAGAAACUAAUACAAUACUGCUCGUGCCACUAAGGACCUCUUUCUCUGUGGAAGACACAAAGUAAAUGAAGAACACUAUGAAAAACGAACCUAAAGGACCACUCUGUUUUUCCCUGUGGCCCUUCACAGGGCUACUGCCCAUGGAAAUCCCACAAAAAGAAGAGUUUCACAGGUUAGUUGCUGUAGUGGGUUGUAUGGUGUCCUCUCAAAAUUCAUGUCCACCUAAAUCUCAGAAUAUGACAUUAUUGGGAAAUAGGGUCUUUGCAGAUGAAAUUAAGAUGAGGUCCUAUCAGAUUAGGG
ensembl:lncRNA